rnacentral:rRNA from 1 species
CCUACGGGCGGCAGCAGUGAGGAAUAUUGGUCAAUGGACGAGAGUCUGAACCAGCCAAGUAGCGUGAAGGAUGACUGCCCUAUGGGUUGUAAACUUCUUUUAUAUGGGAAUAAAAUGUUCCACGUGUGGGAUUUUGUAUGUACCAUAUGAAUAAGGAUCGGCUAACUCCGUGCCAGCAGCCGCGGUAAUACGGAGGAUCCGAGCGUUAUCCGGAUUUAUUGGGUUUAAAGGGAGCGUAGGUGGAUUGUUAAGUCAGUUGUGAAAGUUUGCGGCUCAACCGUAAAAUUGCAGUUGAAACUGGCAGUCUUGAGUACAGUAGAGGUAGGCGGAAUUCGUGGUGUAGCGGUGAAAUGCUUAGAUAUCACGAAGAACUCCGAUUGCGAAGGCAGUUCACUGGACUGCAACUGACACUGAUGCUCGAAAGUGUGGGUAUCAAACAGGAUUAGAUACCCUUGUAGUC